GCUAAGCUCUAGUCCCUUGGUUUUCUAUUUUACUUUAUCAGUUAAAUAUUUUUCGUGAAAGUUCCUUCUAUUUUUUCUUUUUUGAUUCUUUUUUUGGCCUUCGACCAGACGUAAUAUCGUAGGCUUCGCUAAUGAUUAUGAUAAAAAUAACCUGUUUUUUUUAAUCGACAAGGUGUCAAACGUAGAAAAUUGCUCGAGAGGCAGUUACAUAGCCCGGUGACAGGUUGACAAGGGGAAAUCAACUUAAUAAAACCUGAAUUAGCAGUGAAAUUAAAUGGGCAUGAAACUUACAGGAUCCUUAGAUCGAAGCGAAAAAGGACAGAUCACUCUUUCGACAAGCAAACCCUAAGGCUACCCGUGGAAAAACUGUUUUGAUAAUUUUGCUACAAGAUGUUGGCUCGUUCCAGUCUUCUCAUGGCCUGUGUCAUCCUCGUCCUGUUACUGGGCUUGGAGGCCGAGCAUUUGCGUGAGUUUCCUGACAUAGAUGAGGACAGCGACGUAAACAAAGGCCAGGGAGACUUCUUUCCCGAAAAGCGUAACAAAGAAUCUUUGGAGAAAAGACUCCACCGACGAUUUCAGUACGAAAGGCGAUUUAGAUCACGAAAGGGAUGCAAAGACAGGUUUAUACCACUUUGCGGAUGAAAUCGAGACUGAUUCAAUAUAACAUUUGACGGAUAUUUGUAGGAAUCAAAAAACUGACCUGUCCAUAACCUCAAAAGUGAUGUAAUUAAAACAAUAGAGAAAAAAUUGCCCAAAGCAAUGGUAACUUGUAAGAUAUUGGGAGAUUAAUCAGACCGGGGAGAGAAAAGAAGCCUUUACCAGGUUUUCUUCUAAAGAACGAAAAUUUCGUUCCAAUUGGCGCAUGAUAAUACUUUAAUAAAACAUUAGUCAGGUAUGUA